rnacentral:rRNA from 1 species
UCCGUAGGUGAACCUGCGGAAGGAUCAUUACUGAGUGAGGGCC